UACGUAGGGACCGAGCGUUGUCCGGAAUCAUUGGGCGUAAAGAGCGUGUAGGCGGCUAUUUAAGUCCUGCGUGAAAUCCUGCGGCUCAACCGCAGACGGUCGUGGGAAACUGGAUGGCUAGAGUGCGGGAGAGGAGAGUGGAAUUCCCGGUGUAGCGGUGAAAUGCGCAGAUAUCGGGAGGAACACCCGUGGCGAAGGCGGCUCUCUGGAACGCAACUGACGCUGAGACGCGAAAGCGUGGGGAGCAAACAGG
rnacentral:rRNA from 1 species